UUCUACGUGCCUGCGGAAGACAUAUUGGCUUUUGUGAUCUGUAUCCGCGGUAUCAACAAAGUUGCACCAAAAGUGCGACAGUUUGUUCCGUUUUCGCCACAUUAACCACGGUUUGUUCAUCAAAUUUAACCGUUACUAUGCUACGCAUUGCAGAAUCCUAUAUCACAUGAGGUUAUCCAAAUCUUAAAUCAGUUCGUGAAUUGAUAUACAAACGUGGAAUUGUCAAGCACAACCAUCAAAGUGGCCCAAUCUCUGACAACUUUGUGAUCGAACGCACAAGAAAGCAUCCAACUACCUGUGGCCAUUCAAGCUCAACACCAACCGGUGGCUGGCGCAAGAGGGCUAAUUACUACAUUGAGGUUGGUGAUUUCGGUAACCGCGAAGACAAGAUCAACAAACUGCAUGCGCAAGAUGGUUUAAAGAAAUUUUUGUGUACAAGGUUUAACCCGCAAAUAUGCCAAAUGGAAGGCAGCUUAUAUUCACGGUUCCUUGAAUAAUGUCGGAAUUCCAUUGCCGUUUCUAAUUAACGAUGCACCCAGGAUUGCUUUUACCGUCUAUAAAAAUAUUUCAUGAAGCGUUCCAAAAUUAGCUCCGAGCAACUAAAAGUUGGUUAAGCU